AGAGUUUGAUCAUGGCUCAGAACGAACGCUGGCGGCGUGCCUAAUACAUGCAAGUCGCGCGAGAAAGUGGUAGCAAUACCAUGAGUAGAGCGGCAAACGGGUGAGUAACACGUAAGUAACCUCCCUCUAAAUCUGGAAUAACCUUGCCAACGCGGGGCUAAUACCGGAUGUGGCCCGCUUUUCACAAGAAGAGCGGAUUAAAGGCGACCUCUAUUUAUACGUUGUCGUUUAGAGAUGGACUUGCGCACUAUUAGCUAGUUGGCGGGGUAACGGCCCACCAAGGCUUUGAUGGUUAGCCGGCCUGAGAGGGUGUACGGCCACAUUGGGACUGAGAUACGGCCCAGACUCCUACGGGAGGCAGCAGUAGGGAAUUUUGCGCAAUGGACGAAAGUCUGACGCAGCAACGCCGCGUGAGUGAUGAAGGUCUUCGGAUUGUAAAGCUCUGUUGAGUGGGAAGAAAAGUUUAGGGAAUAAUACCUCUGAACGUGACGGUACCAUUCGAGGAAGCCCCGGCUAACUACGUGCCAGCAGCCGCGGUAAUACGUAGGGGGCAAGCGUUGUUCGGAAUCACUGGGCGUAAAGGGAGAGUAGGCGGGAAAAUAAG
rnacentral:rRNA from 1 species